AGGGCAGUAGCUCAACUGGUAGAGCGGCGGUCUCCAAAACCGCAGGUUGGGGGUUCGAAACCCUCCUGCCCUGCCA
rnacentral:tRNA from 4 species